rnacentral:rRNA from 1 species
CCAGACUCCUACGGGAGGCAGCAGUGGGGGAUAUUGCACAAUGGGGGGAACCCUGAUGCAGCGACGCCGCGUGGGUGAAGAAGCGCCUCGGCGCGUAAAGCCCUGUCAGCAGGGAAGAAAAUGACGGUACCUGAAGAAGAAGCCCCGGCUAACUACGUGCCAGCAGCCGCGGUAAUACGUAGGGGGCAAGCGUUGUUCGGAAUGACUGGGCGUAAAGGGUGCGUAGGCGGUGUAGCAAGUUAGAAGUGAAAUACCUAGAGCUUAACUCAGGUGCUGCUUCUAAAACUGCUAUACUUGAGUGCAGUAGAGGAAAGUGGAAUUCCUAGUGUAGCGGUGGAAUGCGUAGAUAUCAGGAGGAACACCGGUGGCGAAGGCGGCCUGCUGGACUGCAACUGACGUUGAGGCCCGAAAGCGUGGGGAGCAAACAGGAUUAGAUACCCUUGUA